rnacentral:piRNA from 1 species
GCCCCGCGGAGGCCGAGGACGGUG